GUUUUUUCCUUGGAGAAGAUGGAGAGAUACGGGAAGAGGUUCACACUUCACAGACGGAGACAAGGAAAGGAUUUGAAAAACUUUUCCCCACCACCACACACUUGCCUGGCCCAGAGCCCCAACGGAAUCUGCACCGCCUGCUUAUCCCGCGCCCCCCGCCCGCGCCUGCCUCAAGCGCCAACUCCGAUUUCCAAAUCCCACGCAAAAACCCUCCACCGCAAUCGCUCUCUUUUUUUCCAAACCUCAGAUCCCCCACCGCGCCGCACCGCACCGCCGAAUCGCCGUUUCCCGACGCCUCGAACCGAAGCGCCGCUGCCCUCGCCGCGGGCCCGUCGGUCGCGGCCGGGGGAGCCGGGCCAUGCGGCGGCCCGGCGCUGCGCCGUUCGGAGGAAGUGCAACAAUAGCGCCGAGAAAUGCCUGAGCCCGACCGCAACUCCCUCAGCGCCGGCCGCGGGCUCCACCGCGACGGGCGCAAGGGCUGGCCCGACCUCUGGCUGCUCCCGGGGAAGCCGCCGCACUCGCCCGCCGCGGCCAUGGCCCCGCCGACCCCGCCGCCGGACCGCGCACCCGACCAAACCCUAGCCUUCUCCGACGAGCUCCUCCUCCGCGUCCUCGCUUACCUCCCGGAGCCCCACCUCACGGCCUCCGCCUCGCUCGUCUGCAAGAGGUGGACGCGCCUCUCCGGCCGCCUGCGCCGCCGCCUCGCGGUGCGGGACUGGGCCUUCGUCACGCACCGACUCCCCUACCGCUUCCCCGACCUGGCGGUCCUCGACCUGUUCCCGGCCUCCAUAGCCGCCCCGGCCGCGCCGUCUCGGGCCUCCCCCGUCCUCACCUGCGGCGCGGUCUCGCUAACCCUAGACCUCGCCGCGGACCCGCCGCUCGGCGCUUGCCGGUUCCUCGCCGACGAUGUGCUCGACAGGGGCCUCGCCGUCGUUGCCGCCAGGUUCCCUAACCUCCGGCGCUUAUCGGCCACAGCAGCGUCCGAGUCCGCCGGCCUCAUGGAUAUCGCCGGAGGCUGCGCCACGCUGCAAGAGCUUGAGCUCCACCGGUGUACUGACCUCGCGCUCCGCCCGGUCUCUGCCUUUGCGCACCUCCAGAUCCUCCGCAUUGUUGCCGCCUCCUCGCCGCUGUAUGGCACGAGUGAAGAUGGCGGGGUAACUGACAUCGGCCUCACCAUCCUCGCCCAUGGCUGCAAACGGUUGGUUAAGCUGGAGCUUGUGGGUUGCGAGGGCAGUUAUGAUGGCAUUGCAGCUGUUGGGCGGUGCUGUGCGAUGCUGGAGGAGCUCACCAUUGCUGAGCACAGGAUGGACGGCGGGUGGCUUGCUGCUCUAGCUUUCUGUGGCAACCUCAAGACCCUGCGGCUUCAGGGGUGUGCCAGGAUUGAUGAUGAUCCUGGGCCUGCUGAACAUCUUGGCGCCUGCCUCACGCUCGAGAGCCUGCAAUUGCAUCGGUGCCAGCUACGUGACCGCCACGCCCUCCAUGCUCUCUUUUUGGUCUGUGAGGGUGCUCGCGAGUUGCUGGUCCAGAAUUGUUGGGGCCUUGAAGACGACAUGUUUGCGUUGGCUGGCCUAUGCAGGAGAGUGAAAUUGCUGUCCUUAGAAGGCUGCUCAUUAUUAACAACUCGAGGUGUCGAAUCUGUAGUCACCUCAUGGAAUGAUUUGCAGAGUCUACAAGUUGUCGCGUGCAACAAAAUAAAGGACGAGGAAAUGACUGGUGCACUCUCAGAGCUUUUCUCUAAUCUCAAAGAGCUGAAGUGGAGGCCCGACAACAAAUCUCUCCUGGCGGCAAGCCUAGUGGGCACUGGAAUGGGAAAGAAGGGCAGAGUAUUUUUCAAAAGGGUAUGAAGUCUGAUCAUCUUGGUGUGCUCCGUUCCCUGCGAUGAUGCGCUUCAUCUCUUCUUUGCCCGUAAGGAUUGAGCUUUUCUUGUGGCAGAUUUUACCGGGCCAUCAACGAGUCAAGGGCAAGGUGCUCAACUAUCCAGCGGGUGUUGCUGCUUAGCCUGAUCGCUCUUUUGGUCCAGACAGAAUUUUAGGUGCUGCUGCAAAGUUCGUAUACUUGGAGCUGGUGCAAAUUCUUUGGAUUUGGAUCAAAGUUCUUCAUUUUUGGAAGCUGGCACGCCCAAGGGCAAUUGAGAUACCAACCGCCCAGAUUUGUGUUUUUGGCAGAGUUGUAACAAGCUGACACUACCCCAUGACGAUCCUAACCAACAUUUAUGUACGCCACAGAAAUUUUCUUUUAUAAGUUAUGGCAGAACUUGUUAGUUCCUGAUGAUGAAUCAGACGGAAGCACCAAAAGUGUUCGUGUUUUAUCCCCA
rnacentral:rRNA from 1 species